rnacentral:tRNA from 1 species
GCACUAGUGGUGCAAUGGUUAAGCAUUUGGCUGCUAACCAAAAGGUUAGUGGUUCAAACCCACCCAGUGGCU